rnacentral:lncRNA from 1 species
CUCGACCCUUGGCCCCGCCCACUCCUCCAACGCAGCCAAUGAGACGGCGCGUCCCGGCUAGUCCUGUCGUACCGCCCCUGGCAACGAUUGGUUAACGAGGUCUCGUUUCCAGAAAUGGGCACUACUUCCGGACGGUGUUUAUAGAGGAGAGAUUGCUGGGCGGACGGAUUGACAGAAGGCGGAGGCGGCCUGGGUGUCGGUGUAGCCGCACAUGCGCCCUCGGCUUCUGGCAGUCUUUUUACGGGUUGCGUUCUUCUGGAGGUUACGGGAAGGAAGGCCGAGUGUGCGCAUGCGUGGGCACUCCCCGGCCUCGAACUUCGGUUAUCUUGGGGACUACGAGGCGCUCUCUCUUGGGUCUGGUUCUGCUUCCUCUUUGCUUGAGGCUGUGGCAGCUAAAACCGGUGGGGGGCGGUUGGAAACACUUUUAUUGAGCACGUACUGUGUCCCUAGCGCUGUAGAGCCCCCAAGGACGAGUAAGACAGGUUCUGGUGCCUGCCCUCGAGAAGCUUGGGGAGCCAAGGGCCUACGCAGCACCUACCGUGCACCAGGCCAACUCUAGGCACUGGAGGUAGAGCAGUGACCGCAACGGACCCGGGCCUUGCAUCAUGGAGCUGCGGUUCUAUAGCAGAGAAGAGCUGUAGGAUAAAUCCCAAGACAUGGGUCACGCUUUCUUUCAAUCCUUCUAAUGAAGAAGAAAGUUUUACGUUGGUGAGAAAGUCUUCCUUUGGUGCCGGAGGGAGUUAAACAAUUCUGUGUUCCGGGCAUUGUGGAUUCAGACUGAAGGUUCAGAACGAAGAAGACCUGCCUCUACUCCCCUACUCUGGAGGGGGUCACAGUCCAUGGAGGAGACAGACAACAGGCCUGGCUUGACUACCCUGCUGCCCCAGGGCUGGAGCCCAGCUGG